GGGGAAGCGGCCAGCCAAUGGCAGCGCGGCAUACCGGCCCGCCGGCCAAUGGCGCGGCGGGGGCGGGGCCGGGGCUCUGCUAGUUAUUAGGGGAGCUGUCAAAGCCCAGAGGUCACUCCCUCUCCCUGGAACUGGCGGCGAGCAGGUCUUAAAGGGGCCGCGCCGCCCCGGGGGACACCCCGGGCUCCGGGGCGGCACUUCCCCCCGCGCUCCGGCCCCGGCUCGAACGCGCCGCGCCGGGAGAAGGGAAGCCGGGCUCGCUCCUCGUCCCCUCGCACCACCGCCGCUGCCCCCCUGUUUCCCAGGCGGCGUGCCCCGCCGGGGGAACGAGCCCGCGCCGCCCGCUCGCUCCGCAGGCUGCCCGGCAGCGCUCCCGCCGCGCUGUUUCUCUUUCUGCACAGCCGCGCUCGCCGCCAGGUCUGUUUUGGCAGCGGCUUCAGGGCAGCGCCGCUCCCGCUCCCCCUCCCCCAGGAAUUUCCCUCUCCCUGUCAGUCAUCCCGGCCCGCAGCCCCUGCGCCCUUACAUAACGCGCGGCGGCCGGACCGCCCGCCCGGCCCUGCGCUGCCCCGCUCCUCUCUCCCACACAGCAACUUCUGGCGCGCCGGGAGCCGGGCCCCCGUCUCCGCCCGGCUCGGGGAGCCGCGGGGGGAAGAGCCCUGACCCGCGUUUCACCGGACAUGCAGCCCUGCGGUGAGACAGGAGCCGCAGGCUGGACCCCGG
rnacentral:lncRNA from 12 species